AAGAGACGUUGCCCUUCGGGGUAUACCUCCCACCCUUUGUUUAUUAUACCUUUGUUGCUUUGGCGGGCCCGUCCUCGGACCACCGGCUUCUGCUGGUCAGUGCCCGCCAGAGGACCUAAAACUCUGCUUGUUAAUAUUGUCUGAGUACUAUAUAAUAGUUA
rnacentral:misc_RNA from 1 species